rnacentral:rRNA from 1 species
GAUGAACGCUGGCGGCGUGCCUAAUACAUGCAAGUCGAGCGAACAGACGAGGAUCUUGCUCCUCUGACGUUAGCGGCGGACGGGUGAGUAACACGUGGAUAACCUACCUAUAAGACUGGGAUAACUUCGGGAAACCGGAGCUAAUACCGGAUAACAUGUUGAACCGCAUGGUUCAACAGUGAAAUACGGGCUUGCUGACACUUCUAGAUGGCUCCGCGCCGCAUUAGCUAGUUGGUAAGGUAACGGCUUACCAAGGCAGCGAUGCGUAGCCGACCUGAGAGGGUGAUCGGCCACACUGGAAGUGAGCCGCGGUACAGAGUCCGACGGGCGGCCGAGGUAGGGAAGCGUGCGAGAAGGGGGAAAGACUGACGGAGCAACGCCGCGUGAGUGAAGAAGGUCUUCGGAUCGUAAAACUCUGUUAUUGGGGUAGAACAAAUGUGUAAGUAACUAUGCACGUCUUGACGGUACCUAGUCAGAAAGCCACGGCUAACUACGUG